CUCAUCAAAGUACUUUUUUUCUCAACUAAGGACUUCAACAACAAUAACAACAACAACAAACCCAGUGUAUUCCCACUUAGUGGGGUCUGGGGGGAUAAGAUGUACGCAGUCCAUACCUCUACCUCUGAUGAAGUAGAAAGGCUGUUUCCGAAAGACCCCCAGCUCAAGGCACAAGAUAUCACACAAACACAUAGUAAAGCACAGAAGCAGAUGACAUAACAUAAAUACGGCACCCAUAAGGAAUAUAAAACAGAGGAAAGCAGAGGAAAGCACACAGCUUCGUAAUAAGCAUGGAACACUGAAUACGUAAUCAUAACAGGAAUAAAAAAUAAAAAAACCCCACCAAGUAAUUCCCUGCACUAGCGACCCAAUCUGGCCCUACUCUUCUGCCGUAAUUCGCGUCUUCCAAACCUUCCUAUCUAGGGUCAUGUCCUCGGUAAGCUGUAACUGUUCCAUGUCCCGCCUAAUCACCUCACCCCAGUACUUCUUCGGUCUACCCCUACCCCGUCUAAAACCAUCCAACGCUAGCCUCUCACACCUACGGACCGGGGCAUCCAUGCCCCUCCUCUUCACGUGUCCGAACCAUCUCAAUCGUGCUUCCCGCAUCUUACACUCCACUGAAGUCACCCCAACCUUCUCCCGGAUAGUCUCAUUCCGAGCUCUAUCCCUUCGGGUCAGUCCACACAUCCAGCGCAACAUCCGCAUUUCUGCCACCUUCAUUCUUUGGGUGUGGGAGUUCUUAACUGGCCAACACUCCGCUCCAUACAGCAAGGCCGGACGGACUACCACCCUAUAGAAUUUACCUUUAAGCUUGGGCGGCACCUUCUUAUCACACAGCACCCCCGAUGCAAGUUUCCACUUCAUCCAUCCCGCCCCGAUACGGUGCGAGACAUCCUCGUCAAUCUCACCGUUACUCUGGAUCACGGACCCGAGGUACUUGAACUUAUCCCUUUUCUUUACCUCCUGCGCUUCUAGCCUCACCACUACCUCAUUCUCUCGCCUUACGUCAUUAAACUUACAUUCCACAUACUCUGUCUUGGUUCUGCUCACCCUGAACCCUUUAGACUCCAGAGUUUGCCUCCACAGCUCUAAUUUGUCGUUCACACCCCCUCGCGUCUCAUCUAUCAGGACUACAUCGUCUGCAAAAAGCAUACACCACGGCACCUCCCCUUGGAUACGCCGCGUUAACACAUCCAUUACUAGCGCAAACAAAAAGGGACUAAGAGUAGAUCCCUGAUGCAAUCCUGUCAGGACAGUGAAAUGCUCUGAGUCUCCUCCCGCCGUCCUCACCUGGGUUUUCGCUCCCUCAUACAUAUCCUUAAUUACUCUGCUAUAUGCCUGCGGUACUCCACUCACCUCCAAGCAUCUCCAAAGCACCUCCCUGGGGACUUUGUCGUACGCCUUUUCUAGGUCGAUGAACACCAUGUGCAAAUCCUUCUUCCUUUCCCUAUAUUGCUCCACCAACCGCCGUACCAGGUGAAUUGCCUCCGUCGUCGAGCGGCCGGGCAUAAAUCCGAACUGGUUUUCCGAGAUAGACACUAUCCGUCUCAGCCUCACCUCGACCACUCUCUCCCAGAUCUUCAUAGAGUGACUCAGUAACUUAAUCCCCCUAUAGUUAUUGCAACACUGAAUGUCCCCCUUAUUCUUAUAGAGGGGGAUCAUGGUACUCCACCUCCACGCCUCGGGCAUCUUUGCCGUCCUGAAAAUUUCAUUGAACAAUGCAGUCAACCACCUUACACCAGCCUCUCCAACGAACUUCCAAAACUCCACCGGUAUCUCAUCCGGCCCCGUCGCCCUACCCCUUCGCAUCCUGCGGACUGCCUGUCUAACCUCGUCUACCUUAAAACGUCUACAAUAGCUAAAAUCCCGACACUCCCCUGAGUGCUCCAGUUCCCCUAACACAAUAGCUCUGUCCCCCUCGUCAUUCAAGAGCCUAUGAAAGUACGACUGCCAUCUCUUCUUUAUGUGGCCGUCCUCCACCAACACUCUACCGUCCUCCCCCUUAAUGCACCUCACCUGAUCGAGGUCACGACCCUUCCUCUCCCUAGCCUUAGCGAGUCUAAACAACUUUUUCUCCCCUCCUUUCCCCUGUAACCCUGCAUACAAGCUCUCAAAAGCGGCCGUCUUAGCUGCCGUGACCGCUGACUUCGCCUCCUUCCUCGCUAGCUUGUACUCUUUCCUGUUUACCCGCUUCUCUUCUUCGUCCUUACUUUCCACCAACUUAGCAUACGCCUCUUUCUUGGUCUCCACUUUCUUCUCCACCUCUUCAUUCCACCACCAAUCCCCCCGAUGGUGACCGGCCCGGCCCCUAGAAACACCCAACACCUCCCUUGCAUUCUCCCUGAUGCACCUUGCCGCCCUGUCCCACAUACUAUCCACGUCCCCCCUACACUCCCACACCCCCUUGCCCGCCAACCUCUCCCCUAUCUCCCACGCAUUCACUGGCGUCAAGCCGCCCCACUUAAUUCUCGGUCUACACUCCUUACUCCUCCUCUUUCUAUUCUUCUUUAUACCCAAAUCCAUAAUCAAAAGCCUAUGUUGGGUCGAGAGAUUCUCACUCGGGAUGACUUUACAGUCCUUACACAACGCCCUAUCCCCUUUCCUAAGCAACAAAAAGUCAAUCUGGGUCCUGGCUAUCGCGCUCCGAAAAGUGAUCAGGUGCUCGUCCUUCUUCGGGAAGCCCGAGUUCACCACCACCAGCCCAAAGGCCCUCGCAAACUCCAAUAGGGUCGCCCCCUCUUCAUUUCUCUCUCCAAAACCAAAACCACCAUGCACAUCCCCAAAGCCUCCCGGUAGCGCCCCGAUGUGCCCGUUGAAAUCCCCUGCUACAACAAUCUUCUCCGAACUGGGCACGCCUCUCACCACCUCCUCCAAAGCCUCCCAGAACCGCAUCUUCUCCUCCCCCUCCGCUCCCACUUGCGGCGCAUAAGCACUACACACGUUCAGGGUAAACCCCCGAAUGACCAACUUAAUAGUCAUCAACCUAUCGUUGAUCCUCUUCACCUCCACUACCUGACCUCUAAGCUCUUCAUCUACUAAGAUGCCAACUCCAUUCCUACGCCUCUCGCUCCCAGAGUACCACAGCUUGUAACCAUCCACAUCCCUAGCCUUAGACCCUACCCACUUGGUCUCUUGGACACACGCAAGGUUGAUCCUCCUCUUCCUAAGAAUCUUCACAAGCUCUACGGACUUACCCUGAAGGGUCCCUAUAUUCCAAGACCCAACCCUCAGCCUACCGUCGCUAUCCACACGCCCCCCACUACCUCCCCCUCGGCCCAACCUUGGCCUCCCGCCCACUCCCUCCCUCUCUCCAUCCCCCGCCCCCACCACGGCCCCACGCCCCAACCCCCUCGGACAUGACCCUAUCCACCCAUUACCACCCACAGCCACAACUACCCGAAAGUAUCGGAAAAUAUAAAGAUAUACUCGGUGACAGUAUCAAAGCAGCAGCAAGGAAAUACAACGCUCACACACCUUCAAAGUAAUAUUCCCGAAACAAAACUAGGAAACGACCACAGCAACCGCAACAACAGACAACAGACAAGGUACAGGGGCUACUACGAGCAAAAUACUAAGGAUGGAAAUUGAAAUAAUGAAAUAAAAUGCAAUACGAAAUAACGAAAUAACAAAGGUUAGAAGUCACCGGAUUUCGCUUGGAGCUGCGGCUGCUGGAGAUGGCGUAGCGGUUGCAGACGGAGUUUCGGCCUGUUGGAGACCGAGUUGGCGGCUGGAGACCGGGCGGCGGCAGGUUGGAGGCCGAGGUGGGGGGGNNNNNNNNNNNNNNNNNNNNNNNNNNNNNNNNNNNNNNNNNNNNNNNNNNNNNNNNNNNNNNNNNNNNNNNNNNNNNNNNNNNNNNNNNUCUUUCUCUGCACUGUUAUUAACAUAAAAGGCAGAGCAACUCCAGGGGGAGUUAGAGCGUCUGAUGAUACCAUUUUUCAGGAGAUGAUCUAUUUCUUUCUUACAGAUUUCCAUCAUCUCAUGGUUCAUUUGGAUAGGUCUGGCCUUAGUAGGAAUACUUUUCUCGUCGAAUUCGGGGAUGUAAGGAAGUUCAACCAAGUGUUUCGGCCGGAUCGGGUCGGCGCCGAAGGUCAGCGACGGCGCCGGGGACCGGGGCCGGUGUGCUAGAGAUGGAGAGAGGGUAAGGAGAGAGGGACUUCAUAUUUCAAAAACAUUGCAUCUAUUUAAACACAUUGACAAAAGCUUACAUACUAAGCUAUUCAAGAUAAAAAAAAACCAGCCUAUCCAAGCUUUCUUUUUUUAGAAGAAGCUGACCUAUCCACAAUUUUCUUCAUUUAAGCUAUGUGUGAAGCAAAAAAGGGAACAGGCAGAGAGUAACAACAACAACAACAACAACAACAAACCCAGUGUAUUCCCACCUAGUGGGGUCUGGGGGGUAAGAUGUACGCAGUCCAUACCUCUACCUCUGAUGAAGUAGAAAGGCUGUUUCCGAUAGACCCCCGGCUCAAGGCACGAGAUACCACACAAACACAUAGUAAAGCACAGAAGCAAAUUACAUAACAUAAAUACGGCACCCAUAAGUAAUAUAAAACAGAGGAAAGCACACAGAUUCGUAAUAAAACAUGGAACACGGAACACGG
rnacentral:lncRNA from 1 species